rnacentral:rRNA from 1 species
UUACCGUGAAAAAAUUAGAGUGUUCAAAGCAGGCAGAUCCAAUUUUCUGCCACCGAAUACAUUAGCAUGGGAUAAUGGAAUAGGACCCUGUCCUCCUAUUUUCAGUUGGUUUUGGCACGCGAGGACCAGGGUAAUGAUUAAUAGGGAUAGUCGGGGGCAUUAAUAUUUAAUUGUCAGAGGUGAAAUUCUUGGAUUUAUGAAAGAUUAACUUCUGCGAAAGCAUCUGCCAAGGAUGUUUUCAUUAAUCAAGAACGAAAGUAGGGGAUCGAAGACGAUCAGAUACCGUCGUAGUCUUAACCAUAAACGAUGCCGACCAGCGAUUAGGAGACGUUGAAUACAAAACACCACCAUCGGUGCGGUCGUCCUUGGCGCGUCGCGGCUUGCCGUGGCGUGCGAGGGCGGUUAGCCUAGCUUA